rnacentral:lncRNA from 1 species
CAGAAGUCAGGUCGGAUUAAGCCAUAGUACGGGAAAAACUAUGCUACCUGUGAGCCCCGUCCAAGGACGUUAAAAGAAGUCAGGCCACUACGAGUGCCAUAGCUUGAGCAAACUGUGCAGCCUGUAGCUCCACCUGAGAAGGUGUAAAAAAUCUGGGAGGCCACAAACCAUGGAAGCUGUACGCAUGGCGUAGUGGACUAGCGGUUAGAGGAGACCCCUCCCUUACAAAUCGCAGCAACAAUGGGGGCCCGAGGUGAGAUGAAGCUGUAGUCUCACUGAAAGGACUAGAGGUUAGAGGAGACCCCCCCGAAACAAAAAACAGCAUAUGACGC